GACGAACGCUGGCGGCGUGCUUAACACAUGCAAGUCGAGCGAGGCCCCUCCUUCGGGAGGGUGUCCUAGCGGCGAACGGGUGAGUAACACGUGGGCAACCUGCCCCCGGCUCUGGGAUAACUCCAAGAAAUUGGGGCUAAUACCGGAUAUGACCGCUGACCGCAUGGUCUGGUGGUGGAAAGGUUUAUCGGCUGGGGAUGGGCCCGCGGCCUAUCAGCUUGUUGGUGGGGUAGUGGCCUACCAAGGCGACGACAGGUAGCCGGCCUGAGAGGGUGACCGGCCACACUGGGACUGAGACACGGCCCAGACUCCUACGGGAGGCAGCAGUGGGGAAUAUUGCGCAAUGGGCGGAAGCCUGACGCAGCGACGCCGCGUGGGGGAUGACGGCCUUCGGGUUGUAAACCUCUUUCAGCAGGGACGAAGCGAAAGUGACGGUACCUGCAGAAGAAGCACCGGCCAACUACGUGCCAGCAGCCGCGGUAA
rnacentral:rRNA from 1 species